rnacentral:rRNA from 1 species
AACGAACGCUGGCGGUAUGCCUAACACAUGCAAGUCGAACGAGAUCUUCGGGUCUAGUGGCGCACGGGUGUGUAACGCGUGGGAAUCUGCCCUUUGGUUCGGAAUAACAGUUGGAAACGACUGCUAAUACCGGAUGAUGACGAAAGUCCAAAGAUUUAUCGCCAGAGGAUGAGCCCGCGUAGGAUUAGCUAGUUGGUGUGGUAAAGGCGCACCAAGGCGACGAUCCUUAGCUGGUCUGAGAGGAUGAUCAGCCACACUGGGACUGAGACACGGCCCAGACUCCUACGGGAGGCAGCAGUGGGGAAUAUUGGACAAUGGGCGAAAGCCUGAUCCAGCAAUGCCGCGUGAGUGAUGAAGGCCUUAGGGUUGUAAAGCUCUUUUACCCGGGAUGAUAAUGACAGUACCGGGAGAAUAAGCUCCGGCUAACUCCGUGCCAGCCGCCGCAGUAA